UACAGAGGUGGCGAGCGUUGUUCGGAUUUACUGGGCGUAAAGGGUGCGUAGGCGGUUCCGCGUGUCGGAUGUGAAAUCUGGAGGCUCACCCUCCAAAGUGCAUUCGAAACUGCGAAACUCGAGUACAGGAGAGGAGAGCGGAAUUCUUGGUGUAGCGGUGAAAUGCGUUGAGAUCAAGAAGAACACCAGUGGCGAAGGCGGCUCUCUGGAAUGAAACUGACGCUGAGGCACGAAAGUUGGGGGAGCAAACAGGAUUAGAUACCCUGGUAGUCCCAACCGUAAACGGUGUACACUUGAUGUGGGAGGAGUUAACCCCUUCCGCGUCGAAGCUAACGCGAUAAGUGUACCGCCUGGGGAGUACGAUCGCAAGAUUAAAACUCAAAGAAAUUGACGGGGGCCCGCACAAGCGGAGGAGCAUGUGGCUUAAUUCGAUGCAACGCGAAGAACCUUACCUGGGCUUGACAUGCAGAGUUCAAGCGGUGAAAGCCGCUGGCCGCAAGGCGAUCUGCACAGGUGCUGCAUGGCU
rnacentral:rRNA from 1 species